UACGGAGGGUGCGAGCGUUGUCCGGAAUCAUUGGGCGUAAAGGGCGCGUAGGUGGCCCGGUCAGCGUGCGGUGAAAGCUCGGGGCUCAACCCCGAGUCGGCCGUGCGAACUGCUGGGCUUGAGCACUGUAGAGGCAGGCGGAAUUCCGGGUGUAGCGGUGGAAUGCGUAGAGAUCCGGAGGAACACCGGUGGCGAAGGCGGCAUCCUGGACCGGUAUUGACGCUGAGGCGCGAAAGCCAGGGGAGCAAACGGG
rnacentral:rRNA from 1 species